CAGUGAAAUGUGCUGUUUUACAGGGUCAGCCAUAGUAGUAUGAUAGGUGUUGUUUUACAGGGUCAGCCAUAGUAGUAUGAUAGGUGUUGUUUUACAGGGUCAGCCAUAGUAGUAUGAUAGGUGUUGUUUUACAGGGUCAGCCAUAGUAGUAUGAUAGGUGUUGUUUUACAGGGUCAGUCAUAGUAGUAUGAUAGGUGUUGUUUUACAGGGUCAGCCAUAGUAGUAUGAUAGGUGUUGUUUUACAGGGUCAGCCAUAGUAGUAUGAUAGGUGUUGUUUUACAGGGUCAGCCAUAGUAGUAUGAUAGGUGUUGUUUUACAGGGUCAGUCAUAGUAGUAUGAUAGGUGUUGUUUUACAGGGUCAGCCAUAGUAGUAUGAUAGGUGUUGUUUUACAGGGUCAGCCAUAGUAGUAUGAUAGGUGUUGUUUUACAGGGUCAGUCAUAGUAGUAUGAUAGGUGUUGUUUUACAGGGUCAGUCAUAGUAGUAUGAUAGGUGUUGUUUUACAGGGUCAGCCAUAGUAGUAUGAUAGGUGUUGUUUUACAGGGUCAGUCAUAGUAGUAUGAUAGGUGUUGUUUUACAGGGUCAGUCAUAGUAGUAUGAUAGGUGUUGUUUUACAGGGUCAGUCAUAGUAGUAUGAUAGGUGUUGUUUUACAGGGUCAGUCAUAGUAGUAUGAUAGGUGUUGUUUUACAGGGUCAGCCAUAGUAGUAUGAUAGGUGUUGUUUUACAGGGUCAGUCAUAGUAGUAUGAUAGGUGUUGUUUUACAGGGUCAGUCAUAGUAGUAUGAUAGGUGUUGUUUUACAGGGUCAGCCAUAGUAGUAUGAUAGGUGUUGUUUUACAGGGUCAGCCAUAGUAGUAUGAUAGGUGUUGUUUUACAGGGUCAGUCAUAGUAGUAUGAUAGGUGUUGUUUUACAGGGUCAGCCAUAGUAGUAUGAUAGGUGUUGUUUUACAGGGUCAGUCAUAGUAGUAUGAUAGGUGUUGUUUUACAGGGUCAGCCAUAGUAGUAUGAUAGGUGUUGUUUUACAGGGUCAGCCAUAGUAGUAUGAUAGGUGUUGUUUUACAGGGUCAGUCAUAGUAGUAUGAUAGGUGUUGUUUUACAGGGUCAGCCAUAGUAGUAUGAUAGGUGUUGUUUUACAGGGCCAUAGUAGUACAGCGCCCCUGGAGCAAUUUAGGGUUAAGUGCCUUGCUCAAGGGCACAUCAACAGAUUUUUCACCUUAUCGGCUCGAGUAUUUUAUCCAGCGACCUUUCGGUUACUGGCCCAACUGACAUGAUGUACCAUUUAAAACAGCCUUUACUAUGGACACAGAGGUCAUACAGUGCUCUGACAGCCUUUGGAGGUGAUACUACUGUAUGUAAUACUAUAUCAGAUCUAUUCCACAGUCCUCCAGCCCUCUCC